rnacentral:lncRNA from 1 species
AUAAGAUUGACCACCACAAGAAAAAUUUAUAAAAAUUCUCAUUUUUUUUUUUUACUUAGACCAAACUUAAAGAAAUGGAGAUUAAUGAAUUUGUGGUCCAGGUCGAAAACCUUACAGCACAACUGAAAGAAGAGGAGAAAGAGUUUAUAAUGAAGGAAAAAAAGUUAAUUCAUGACUUAACCAUAUUUGAGGAUUUAAUUCUUAAGGAAACAAAAAUUAACAAAGAAACAGAAGAAGAGCUUAAUGAUAGUCUUCCACAACUUCAUAUGGCAGAAGAAGAGUACAUGGAAAAACACCGAAAGCUACAAGAGCUCUGUGCGAUCCUCGCAGCCAGCCCCAGAAGUGUACGUACUUCUUCCCCGGUUUCUGGCUUCCCUCCUUCCUAUCCAUCUAUACACGGC